rnacentral:rRNA from 1 species
UGCCAGCCGCCGCGGUAAUACAGAGGGCUCAAGCGUUAAUCGGAAUCACUGGGCUUAAAGGGUGCGUAGGCGGGUCUGUAAGUACUUUGUGAAAUCCCACGGCUCAACCGUGGAACUGCUUGGUAGACUGCAGAUCUUGAGGUUGGUAGGGGCUGCCGGAACUCUAGGUGUAGCGGUGAAAUGCGUAGAUAUCUAGAGGAACACCAAAGGUGAAGACAGGAAGCUGGGCCAAUCCUGACGCUGAGGCACGAAAGCGUGGGUAGCGAACGGGAUUAGAUA